AACGAACGCUGGCGGCAGGCCUUACACAUGCAAGUCGAACGAACCUUCGGGUUAGUGGCGGACGGGUGAGGAACGCGUGGGAACCUGCCCCUUGGUGCGGAAUAACGUUUGGAAACGAACGCUAAUACCGCAUACGACCUUAGGGUGAAAGAUUUAUCGCCAAGGGAUGGGCCCGCGUUGGAUUAGGUAGUUGGUGGGGUAAUGGCCUACCAAGCCGACGAUCUAUAGCUGGUCUGAGAGGAUGAUCAGCCACACUGGGACUGAGACACGGCCCAGACUCCUACGGGAGGCAGCAGUGGGGAAUAUUGGACAAUGGGGGCAACCCUGAUCCAGCCAUGCCGCGUGAGUGAAGAAGGCCCUAGGGUUGUAAAGCUCUUUCAACGGUGACGAUGAUGACUGUAGCCGUAGAAGAAGCCCCGGCUAACUCCG
rnacentral:rRNA from 1 species